GGACUACUAGGGUAUCUAAUCCCGUUUGCUCCCCUGGCCUUCGCGCCUCAGCGUCAGGAACUGUCCAGAGAUCCGCCUUCGCCACCGGUCUUCCUCACGAUAUCUACGCAUUUCACUGCUACACCGUGAAUUCCAAUCUCCUCUCCAGUCCUCUAGCCGAGUAGUAUCAAGUGCCAUUUCAGAGUUGAGCUCUGAGAUUUCACACCCGACUUACCCCGCCGCCUACGCGCCCUUUACGCCCAAUGAAUCCGAACAACGCUUGAGACCUCUGUAUUACCGCGGCGGCUGGCAC
rnacentral:rRNA from 2 species